ACCCGGGAUGAUAAUGACAGUACCGGGAGAAUAAGCCCCGGCUAACUCCGUGCCAGCAGCCGCGGUAAUACGGAGGGGGCUAGCGUUGUUCGGAAUUACUGGGCGUAAAGCGCACGUAGGCGGUUACUCAAGUCAGAGGUGAAAGCCCGGGGCUCAACCCCGGAACUGCCUUUGAAACUAGGUGACUAGAAUCUUGGAGAGGCGAGUGGAAUUCCGAGUGUAGAGGUGAAAUUCGUAGAU
rnacentral:rRNA from 1 species